rnacentral:rRNA from 1 species
GAACGAGGAUAUAUCCUUCGGGAUAUAAGCCGAGUGGCGCAAGGGUGAGUAAUGCAUAGAUUACCUGCCUCUAGGAUAAGGACAACUUUGUGAAAACGAAGCUAAUACUUAAUAAUACAAAUGGAAAUAAUUUUCUUUUGUCAAUGGGAGGGUAGCAAUACCUUUUGCCUGGAGAGGGGUCUAUGUCCUAUCAGCUUGUUGGUGGGGUAAUGGCCUACCGAGGCGAAGACGGGUAGCCGGUCUUAGAGGAUGGUCGGCCACACUGGGACUGAGACACUGCCCAGACUUCUACGGAAGGCUGCAGUCGAGAAUCUUUCGCAAUGCCCGAAAGGGUGACGAAGCGACGCCGCGUGAGUGAGGAAGGCCUUCGGGUUGUAAAGCUCUGUCAGGAGUUAAGAAAUAUAAGUGUGUUAAUACCGCAUUUAUUUGACGAAGGCUCCAAAGGAAGCCACGGCUAACUCUGUGCCAGCAGCCGCGGUAAUACAGAGGUGGCAAGCGUUGUUCGGAAUUAUUGGGCGUAAAGAGCACGUAGGUGGGUUUGUAAGUCAGAUGUGAAAGCCUUCUGUUCAACGGAAGAAUUGCAUCUGAAACUGCGAGUCUUGAGUGUAGGAGGGGAGAAUGGAACUUCUGGUGGAGCGGUGAAAUGCGUAGAUAUCAGAAGGAACGCCGGCGGCGAAAGCGAUUCUCUGGCCUAUUACUGACACUCAGUGUGCGAAAGCUAGGGGAGCAAACGGGGUUAGAUACCCCGGUAGUCCUAGCUGUAAACGAU